ensembl:misc_RNA Metazoa_SRP Metazoan signal recognition particle RNA
ACUGGGUGCAGUGGCAUGUGCCUAUGGUCCCAGCUACUCAGGAGGCUGAGGUGGGAGGAUCGCUUGAGCCCAGGGAGUCCUGGGCUAUAGUGCACUAUGCUGACUGGGUGUUCGCACUAAGUUCAGCAUCAAUAUGGUGACCUCCCGGGAGCGGGGAACCACCAGGCUGCCUAAGGAAGGGUGAACCUGCCCAGGUCAGAAACAGAGCAGAUCAAGACUCUCAUGUUGAUCAGCAGUAGGAUCACACUUGUGAUUAGCCACUGCAUUCCAGCCUGGGCAACAUAUUGAGACCCCAUCUCUG